GCUCGGGCUCGGGCUCGGGCUCGGGUUCGGGCUCGGUUCGGGUUCGGGUUCGGGUUCGGGUUCGGUUCGGGUUCGGUUCGGGUUCGGGUUCGGGUUC